CCAAACCUCCAGAUGCACAAGAAAGAAAACGGAGAAAAGAGGAGGAGGAAAAGAAAGUCCAAUAUAGAGGUAUGUCGUCUAAUGUUAACAUAGCUAGCUAAGUAGCAAUAAAGCUAAUGCUAGAUAAUGAUGCUACGAUAGCUGCUGGACUCACAUAUCGUUACAGAUUGAAGGAUAUGAGACUGAAUGACAAGCCAGUAGCGAGCUAUCUGGAUAACUGCUCCUUCCUACAACAUGCACUCAGGAAAUAUCUGCAGAAGCCUCCAGCUGCUGGAGAAGUUACAUCUGAUCUCCCAUCUACACCACUCUCUGAAGCAGAUUUGCCUGCAGGUGAAGCAACAACAGACACAACAGACACUUCUACUACUCUACAGCCUGCAGACACCAUCAACUGGAACAGAUCCUGAAGUAUGUGAGUCCAUCAAGGCAGCAGCUAUAGAUCCUGCUGACUGGCAGCCCUGUCUGAUAUGAUGAGGACAGAGAUAGUCAGCAGAGGCCAUAUCAGCUAAAAUAAGACUCUACAUUUACAAAAUGAGAGGAUGGGAGAAGUUCCCAUCACCACCACUUCUACAGAAAAUAAGCGAAUAGAGAGAAAAUCGAGAGAAGUUGGUUGGGUAUAUUCCAAGAAAAAAUUUUAAAAAAGUCUUUACUGCUUCUGCUGCAACCUGUUCUCACAAAAA